CAGAAAAUAGUUUAAAUAAAAUAUUAGUUUUGGGAAUUAAAGUUAGAAAUUUUCUUUUUCUGA
rnacentral:tRNA from 1 species